GCCCGUUUUCAGUGUAGUAAAAAGAAAAUACUUAUCUCUAUGUUGUAUGACAAACUAAUGGUAUUUUCCUUUAAAUGUACCAACCAAGACUACAGUUGGCAACUUUUUGCCCGUGUCUAGUUAAAACUUUUCUUGAACUUGGCCUGACAAGCUAUGGUAGAGGUGUAUCUGCCCCGAGUGUUGAGAAACUUGGUUUCAGUGGCUGCUGAGCACAGACAGAACUUUACCAUGGCUGUGUUGAUGAUGGUUGGUUUUUGUUUUUUAAAUUGGAAGACAGAGGAUAAGUUGUGAACUCACAGUGGCUGCCUAGGGAUAGGAGAUUAGUAAGUGUGGGUGUGAUUUGGAAAACGUUUAGUUACUGCAUUUAGAAGGAAAGGUAUUUGGAAAUGGAGUAUGCUUGAAUUUUAAGAGAAGCCUCUCAGUGGGAGGUGGAUACGUGUUUUUUCAGCAUAACCGGAAUGUCAUGUUUGGCCCUUUCUGUCUGCAUAAGCUACUUAUUUAACAAGAGGCAAAGAUGUUUCAUUUCUGUAACAGAGAGGAUUCCUGUAGCUGUUAGCAGGAGCUGGGGCUAGUCAGCGUUGCUACUAGCAUAAGCCCAUGAACUUUAACUAACUUUUUGCUGUAGUAGAAGGAGAUGAAGUAUGAGCAACCACGUGUUCUGAGCAACGGUGCAAACGUGUCCAGAAGUGUCCGAAGAAGCAGAUGGUGAGCUCCAACGAUGGCACAGAAAACCAGGAAAUGAGUGUGUGGUUUGAAGGGGCUGAUCGUCAGCGAGGUCCUGUAGCGGCCCAGUCCUGUAGCUGAGGACACUUAAGAGUUACAGUGCUGACGCUAAUAUGUUUCCAGCAAGAGAAUAUAAUCCCUACGUGACCACAACUGGAUUUUGGUUUUGUUAAGAAAAAAAGAAAACUUUCAAAGUCACAAGACCUGCAGGGUGAAGUGAUGGUUUUGCUGACAAAAGCCCAUGUCUCAGCCGGACACAGGCUCCAGAAGAGGCUGUUUUGGAGGAGGUCCACAUUAGC